rnacentral:rRNA from 1 species
GUGAAAUCCCCGGGCUCAACCUGGGAACUGCCCUUCAUACCGCCGGUCUUGAGGGAGAAAGAGGUGGGUGGAACUCAUAGUGUAGAGGUGAAAUUCGUUGAUAUUAUCAGGAACACCGGUGGCGAAAGCGGCUCACUGGUUCUGUUCUGACGCUGAGGAGCGAAAGCUUGGGGAGCAAACGGGAUUAGAUACCCCGGUAGUCCUAGCCGUAAACGAUGAACGCUAGCCCUUGGGGACUCUGCUUGCCUCUGGGGCAUCUCAAACAUGUUACAUGCUCCCCGGGGAGUAUAGGGUCACAGUGAAAAAACUCAGGAGAAUUGAGGGG